GAGGGGAUGCCGGAGUGGCCAAACGGGACAGACUCAAGAUCUGUUAGCUUAGUGCUUUCCAGGGUUCGAAUCCCUGUCCCCUCA
rnacentral:tRNA from 1 species